CAGCCUCCAUCGUAUCCAGGCCCCCUUCAAAGUGCAGUGCCUCGCAAAGUCAGUGUCUAUCAUUAAGGACUCCCCCACCCAGGAAGUGCUCUCUUUUCAUUGUUACCAUCAGGGAGGAGGUACAGGAGCCUGAAGACACACACUCAACGAUUGAAGAACAGCUUCUUCCCCUCUGCCAACAGAUUUCUGAAUGGACAUUGAACCUAUGAGUAUUACCUCACUGCUUUUUAUUUCUAUUGCAGCAUCAUCUUAUUUUGGUGCAGAAGCAGAGCCGAGGAGUCAGACAUCAGGAAGAGCCGUGGUAGUAGGGGACUCCGUAGUGAGAGCUCCCGUGUGGUGCGGCUUUACUCAAUCACCCCAUCACCAAGGAGGAAGUGAGUCCACUAACCUGGGGCGAGUGCCUCACCUACACCUUCCCACCGUCUGCCAGAAGCAAGUCGAGAGCAUGACCAAACACAAGAGACUCUGCUGCAGAAACUUGUCAAGUUAGUCAGCUCUGUCACGGGUACUAGCCUCCACAGUGCCCAGGACAUCCUCAGGGAGUGAUUCCUUAGAAAGGCAGCGUCCAGCAUUAAGGACCCCCAGCACCCAGGACAUGCCCUCUCAACAUCAGGGAGGGGGUACAGGAGCCUGAAGGCACACACUCAACGAUUCAGGAACGGCUUCUUCCCCUCUGCCAUCAGAUUUCUGAAUGGACAUUGAACCCGUGAACACUACCUCACUACUUUUUUAUUUCUAUUUUUGCCCUACUUUUUUAAUUUAACUAUUUAAUAUAAAUAUACUUAAAGUAAUUCAGUUUAUCUCUCUAUUAUUAUGUUUUGCAUUGUAUUGCUGGCGCAAAGUUAACAAAUUUCUCGACAUACGCCAGUACUAUUACCUACUGUAGCCAGCUUCAGUGGCAUUGGCAGAGAUAAGUACAUGCAUCUCUCCACACAGCAUAGGGCUGUUCUCUUUCAAUCAUUUGCAGUUCUUGUUGGGGAAAAAACAUUUUUGACAAUGUGGCAUUCUCUUCACACUAGAUUACAUAAUAGAGUCACUUAACAACACUUAAAACCACACCUCCAGUCCUUUGAUGCA